ACCCCACAAGGCUAUCUCUCAGGUUGAGAGAGGAAGCUGUUCCCCAGAGGAAAGGGGUGUAGAGACAGUGGCCCCUUUGUUCAGCAGUAGUAGUUUUAUCAUCCUGCUGAGUACGUGCUGUGGUAAACUCUGGUGAUUCUGGGGGUGGGGAAUGUAAGGUUUGACCCUGCUUUUUUAAAUUUUUUCCCAAGCGUAAACAGACUAUUUUGUUGAAGGUUUGCUUGUUCCUACAGACAAGUUUGUUAUUGUUGCUACUAAAAAAUAUAGAAGAUCUUUCUGCAGUGGUCUUUGGUGCUCACUGCCUAGCUCAGUAGCAAACAAAACCUCAUAACAAGACAGUACCAGCUGAAGAGGCAGGAACAUGUAUGUCCGAGCCACGAGCACAGCUCUGGGACCGAAUGCUGUGAACUCAGUGAGGAAGGUGGUUUGUGUUCAUAUGAUCAGCCAGUGAACCAGUCACAAAGAACGUAUUAAAUACUUACCAUAUUCUAGAUCUUUACAGCCCCUGGCACCUGGCGUAGUUCAUUUACUCUCUGUGUCUAUGAUUAGACCCUCAGGACGUCAGGGCAGAAGGACAGCAGUAAAGUUCAAUAUAGUUUACCAUGCCGCUCAGUGAGGACUCCAAGUUUCGCUCAUUAGCAGGGGGCUUUGCUUGGGUAACAUUGUAUUAACAUAAAAAUGUUUCUUAAUAAACCAUGCUCUAGGGCUGGAGAAAUGGCUCAGCAGGUAAGAGCACCGACUGCUCUUCCAGAAGACCCAGGUUCAAUUCCCAGCACCCACAUGGCAGCUCACAACUCUGUAACUCCAAGAUCUGACGCCUUCACACAGACAUACAGGCAAAACAUCAAUGCAGUAAACAAACAAACAGACUUAGGGAUGUGAAUAUGAGGAACAAGAGAUGGAAGUUACUCGUUUCUGCUUCAGAGCUGAGAGCUUCCAGACGGAUCUAUAGUUGGGCAUCUCUGGUGUGAGUUCCUGACAGUCUCUGGAACCCUCUACAAAACCAAGGAGACAGUGCUCCCGCAGGAGACCUGGGCUGGAGAACCCAACAACCCUGGCUAACCAAAUCAUCACCGCGACAAUCUGUUUCAAUGUCUUGUUGCUUGCUGAACCAGCAGGAGUCACAGACAGCCAGGCUUCUGCAGGAGUGUCCACAUUCACUGGAGAGCAGCAGGCACUUCCUGGCUGGCUCCUCUCACAAGGAACCUCUGUUUGCUUUGGGCGCACACAGCCUCUGUUUGUCCCCAUUGAGACAGAAUACAAAUGAGCACUUCUCAGGGUGAGGACACUAACUGGCAGCGGCUUGCUAGAGCUCAGGACAUUUUCUAUGCAAUUCACUAAUCAGAAGUGACUGGGCGCUGAAGAGAAGACAGGCCAGCGUUGGUUCCGCCCUCCAUGCUAAUGAUGAAAGCAGUGAAGUGGAUAAUUAAGGGCAGCGAGGUGAAUAAUUCCAAACGGAUCACUGAAAGACUUCGGGAAGGUCCAGCUUGGGAAGGUGGUGGAGAGGACCAGAUCUGGGAUUGAGAGUUUGUGCAGUCUUGAUGCUUAGGAAGCUUGCACAAUUUCCAGAGGAGACACCCGUGACAAAAAUCUCCACUGAAAAAUGACAAGCCUGCAAAAUGAAUGGAAAAAAUCAGCAGAACUCAUCAGUUUCCAAAAUGGUAUCUAUGUGGAGAGAGUCUAGAAAGAAAUCUAUCAUUAUGAAGAUUAAUAGUCAGCUGGGUAUCGGAGCUAUAGGUAGACUUCAUUUAUUCUCUUCUCUACUGAAUGCGCAUAUGUUAAUUUGAAUUAUACAUACAUUCUCCAUGCACUGGUUUUGUAGUCCUGGGGAUUGAACCCAGGAUUUUGUGCAGGGUGGGCAAGCAGUCUACCGACUGAGUGACAUCCCCAGCAUUUUUAGUACUGAAAACCAUGAACACACACACAACUGGGGUGAUGCAGCUCUUACCCAGAAUGUACAGAAGAGAACCCGCCUCGCGCUAACCGCUGCGCUAAUGUGGGCCGGCAGGGAGCCCGCACAGAAGAUGCAGGCAUUUUCUUUAGGGAUUCUCUCUAUACACGAGUCUCCUUGGCUCUCCUUGGCUGAAAGCUCAAGAGAUAAUUUCAGAGACUACUUUGCAUUACUGUGUUCUUCUCAGGGUGCCACCAGCUUCUACUUGUAUUUUGUUUUGCCAUAAUAAAAUAUUCAAAGCUGA